rnacentral:rRNA from 1 species
AACGAACGCUGGCGGCAUGCCUAAUACAUGCAAGUCGAACGAUCUCUUCGGAGAUAGUGGCGCACGGGUGCGUAACGCGUGGGAGUCUGCCCUUGGGUUCGGAAUAACGUCGGGAAACUGACGCUAAUACCGGGUGAUGACGUAAGUCCAAAGAUUUAUCGCCCAGGGAUGAGCCCGCGUAGGAUUAGCUAGUUGGUGGGGUAAAGGCCUACCAAGGCGACGAUCCUUAGCUGGUCUGAGAGGAUGAUCAGCCACACUGGGACUGAGACACGGCCCAGACUCCUACGGGAGGCAGCAGUAGGGAAUAUUGGACAAUGGGGGCAACCCUGAUCCAGCAAUGCCGCGUGAGUGAUGAAGGCCUUAGGGUUGUAAAGCUCUUUUACCCGAGAUGAUAAUGACAGUAUCGGGAGAAUAAGCUCCGGCUAACUCCGUGCCAGCAGCCGCGGUAA